UAACAAGGAUUCCCCCAGUAACGGCGAGUGAAGAGGGAAGAGCUCACAGUUUGAACCUGUUUGACCUAGUCAAACCGGAUUGUAAACUGUAAAGACAUUGUCCAGGCAAGCCGGGUAAAUAAGUCCUUUGGAAUAAGGCAUCAUGGAGGGUGAAAAUCCCGUUUUUGGCCUGAGCAUUUGCCUUUUGUGCCAAGUCUUUCAAGAGUCAGGUUGUUUGGGAAUGCAGCCUAAAUUGGGUGGUAAAUCCCAUCUAAAGCUAAAUAUUGGCGAGAGACCGAUAGCGAACAAGUACCGUGAGGGAAAGAUGAAAAGCACUUUGAAAAGAGAGUUAAAAAGUAUGUGAAAUUGCUGAAAGGGAAGCGUUUGGGAUCAGAACGGCUGUACCAGUCAUCAGUCUCGGUUUCGACUGGGAUGCACUGUCUGGGACAUUUGCCAGCCAACAACAGUUGGUCUGGGUGGAGAAAACUGUGGGGAAGGUAGCCCCUUCGGGGUGAUUAUAGACCUGCGGAAAAUACACUCGGAUCGACUGAGGAGCGCAGUGGAUGCCUUUAGGCAAGAUCUUUCAAAGGGCAUAGCCUCUAUUUGACUGCAUCUUUAUCCACUUAGGUUGUUGGCCUAAUGGUUCAAACGA
rnacentral:rRNA from 1 species